CCUACGGGUGGCAGCAGUGAGGAAUAUUGGUCAAUGGACGAGAGUCUGAACCAGCCAAGUAGCGUGAAGGAUGACUGCCCUAUGGGUUGUAAACUUCUUUUAUAUGGGAAUAAAAUGUUCCACGUGUGGGAUUUUGUAUGUACCAUAUGAAUAAGGAUCGGCUAACUCCGUGCCAGCAGCCGCGGUAAUACGGAGGAUCCGAGCGUGAUCCGGAUUUAUUGGGUGUAAAGGGAGCGUAGGUGGAUUGUUAAGUCAGUUGUGAAAGUUUGCGGCUAAACCGUAAAAUUGCAGUUGAAACUGGCAGUCUUGAGUACAGUAGAGGUGGGCGGAAUUCGGGGUGUAGCGGUGAAAUGCUUAGAUAGCACGAAGAACUCCGAUGGCGAAGGCAGUUCACUGGACUGCAACUGACACUGAGGCUCGAAAGUGUGGGUAUCAAACAGGAUUAGAUACCCGAGUAGUC
rnacentral:rRNA from 1 species